UACGGGGGGAGCAAGCGUUGUUCGGAUUUACUGGGCGUAAAGGGCGUGCAGGCGGUUUGUUAAGUGCAGGGUGAAAGCUCCCGGCUCAACUGGGAGAGGUCCUUGCAUACUGGCGAACUCGAGGGAGGCAGAGGAAAGUGGAAUUCCCGGUGUAGUGGUGAUAUGCGUAGAUAUCGGGAGGAACACCUGUGGCGAAGGCGGGCUUUCUGGGCCUUACCUGACGCUGAGACGCGAAAGCGUGGGGAGCGAACCGGG
rnacentral:rRNA from 1 species